rnacentral:rRNA from 1 species
UAUUGGACAAUGGGCGAAAGCCUGAUCCAGCAAUGCCGCGUGAGUGAUGAAGGCCCUAGGGUUGUAAAGCUCUUUUACCCGGGAAGAUAAUGACUGUACCGGGAGAAUAAGCCCCGGCUAACUCCGUGCCAGCAGCCGCGGUAAUACGGAGGGGGCUAGCGUUGUUCGGAAUUACUGGGCGUAAAGCGCACGUAGGCGGCUUUGUAAGUCAGAGGUGAAAGCCUGGAGCUCAACUCCAGAACUGCCUUUGGGACUGCAUCGCUUGAAUCCAGGAGAGGUCAGUGGAAUUCCGAGUGUAGAGGUGAAAUUCGUAGAUAUUCGGAAGAACACCAGUGGCGAAGGCGGCCGACUGGACUGGUAUGACGCUGAGUGCGAA